rnacentral:rRNA from 1 species
AUUCUGACCGCGUGCCUAUUGCAUAAUGAGCCGGCUAGUUAUUCUUGUCAGCAAGGUUAAGCGUGAGCGAGCCGCAGCGAAAGCGAGUCUGAAUAGGGCGUUCAGUUGGCAGGAAUAGACGUGAAGCGGGAUGAUCUACCCUUGGCCAGGUUGAAGGUGAGGUAACACUCACUGGAGGACCGAACCGGUGUUUGUUGAAAAAGCUCGGAUGAGCUGAGGGUAGGGGUGAAAGGCUAAUCAAAUUCCGUGAUAGCUCGUUCUCUCCGAAAUAGCUUUAGGGCUAGCGUCGUGUGAUUUGGAUCGGUGGUAGAGACAUGGAUGGACUAGGGGGCUUUCCGGCUUACUGAAUCCUCCCAAACUUCG